UAGUGAAAAUCCUAAAAUGGCGGCGGAAUGGAAGCAAGGUCUUUUUAACUGCUGCGGAGACUGUGGAAUUUGCUGCUGCGGAACCUUCUGUGACUGCUGUCUGGUUUACCAGAACGCGGAUAACCUUGGGAAAUCAGGGUUACUCUGCUGCCUCCUGGCUUGCAUGAUACCUUGCGUUCCAACCAUGAUUCUAAGGAACGAAGCGAGGGAACGAUGGGGAAUCCAGGGAAGCACUGGAGGAGAUUUCUGUGCAUCUGUCUGCUGUUAUCCUUGUGUGGACUGUCAGACAGCUGUAGAGAUUAAGGAGAGAGGAGCACAGAAUUAAUUAUAAAAACCAUCCCAGCCUUAAACUCAGCAAGAAAAUCAAUCUCAUCCUCUCCGGGAAAUAGUCCAAACACAAACCCAGAUCUUAUUUCUUUAUCAUCUCAGAUUCUCAUAAAAAUAUAAUGUAUGGUCUAAGGAGAACUAGAAACCUAAUCUCAGGUUCUCAGAAGAACUCUAAUCUUAGGUUCUCAGGAGAACUAGGAGCCUAAUCUUAGGUUCUCAGGAGAACAAGAAACCUAAUCUCAGGUUCUCAGAAGAACUAGAAACCUAAUCUCAGGUUCUCAGGAGAACAAGAAACCUAAUCUCAGGUUCUCAGGAGAUCUAAAACCCUUAUACCAGGUUCUCAAGUGACCUAGAACCAUAAUAUCAGGUUCUCAGUAGAACUAGAAACAUAAUCUCAGGUUCUCAGGAGAACUAAAAACAAAAUCUCAGGUUCUUACUGGAACUAGAAACCUAAUCUCAAGUUCUUAGUAGAACUAGAAACCUAAUCUCAGGUUCUCAUGAGAACUAUAAAACCUAAUCUCAGGUUCUAAGGAGAACUAGAAACCUAAUCUCAGGUUCUCAGGAGAACUAGAAACAUAAUCUUAGAAACUUCCAUCUCUUGUUCACAAAUAAAAUUCUAAAUUUCUCCGAAUUUCUCUUGACAAUCUUGGAGAAAAGUUUAAGCUUAAUAUGUCUCCUCCCCCCUCUCCUCAUAUCUUCCUUAAGACAAAUCUAAGUGAUGGCUUUCUUUUAUAAAUAUAUUCUUAACUUCCAUAUAUAAUGUACACCAUCAUGUAUACACCUAUAUCUCCUCUCCUCUACAUACACAAGUUGCAAACACAAUAGAAUCUGUAUUUCUAACCUGUAAUAAAUUACAGGUAUUAAU
rnacentral:misc_RNA from 1 species